GAUGAACGCUGGCGGCGUGCCUAAUACAUGCAAGUCGAGCGAACGGACGAGAAGCUUGCUUCUCUGAUGUUAGCGGCGGACGGGUGAGUAACACGUGGAUAACCUACCUAUAAGACUGGGAUAACUUCGGGAAACCGGAGCUAAUACCGGAUAAUAUUUUGAACUGCAUGGUUCAAAAGUGAAAGACGGUCUUGCUGUCACUUAUAGAUGGAUCCGCGCUGCAUUAGCUAGUUGGUAAGGUAACGGCUUACCAUGGCAACGAUGCUUAGCCGACCUGAGAGGGUGGUCGGCCACACUGGAACUGAGACACGGUACAGACUCCUACGGGAGGCGGCAGUAGGGAAUCUUGCGCAAUGGGCGAAAGCCUGACGGAGCAACGCCGCGUGAGUGAUGAAGGUCUUCGGAUCGUGAAACUCUGUUAUUAGGGAAGAACAUAUGUGUAAGUAACUGUGCACAUCUUGACGGUACCUAAUCAGAAAGCCACGGCUAACUACGUG
rnacentral:rRNA from 1 species